GGCGAGCACUCUACGGGAGGCAGCAGUGGGGAAUAUUGCACAAUGGGCGCAAGCCUGAUGCAGCCAUGCCGCGUGUAUGAAGAAGGCCUUCGGGUUGUAAAGUACUUUCAGCAGUGAGGAAGGUGGGUAUGUUAAUAGCAUAUUCAUUUGACGUUAGCUGCAGAAGAAGCACCGGCUAACUCCGUGCCAGCAGCCGCGGUAAUACGGAGGGUGCGAGCGUUAAUCGGAAUUACUGGGCGUAAAGCGCAUGCAGGUGGUUUGUUAAGUCAGAUGUGAAAGCCCGGGGCUCAACCUCGGAAUUGCAUUUAGAAACUGGACAAACUAGAGUACUGUAGAGGGGGUAGAAUUUCAGGUGUAGCGGUGAAAUGCGUAGAGAUCUGAAGGAAUACCGGUGGCGAAGGCGGCCCCCUGGACAGAUACUGACACUCAGAUGCGAAAGCGUGGGGAGCAAACAGGAUUAGAUACCCUGGUAG
rnacentral:rRNA from 1 species